rnacentral:lncRNA from 1 species
AAUGAAGGAGGCUAUGAAAUCAUCAAGAAAGCAAUUGAAAAGCUUGGUCUGAGGCAUAAAGAACACAUUGCAGCUUAUGGAGAAGGGAAUGAGCGGAGACUCACCGGCCGACACGAAACGGCUGACAUUAAUACCUUCAAAUGGGUAAGAGGAAGAAGAAACAAUUUCCUUGUUGCCUGGUUUCUUUUUAUAAGAUGUCUAACAUUAAUUUCAUUACAUCUUGUCCGAUUGACAGGGUGUGGCUGAUCGUGGAGCUUCUAUUCGUGUUGGUCGCGACACAGAGAAAGAAGGAAAGGGGUAUUUUGAGGAUAGAAGGCCUGCUUCGAAUAUGGAUCCAUAUGUUGUUACUUCCAUGAUUGCAGAAACCACCAUCCUGUGGAAGCCAUGAGAACCUCAACAAGCCCCUCUUAGACAGAAUAGUGUCGGUGGUAUUCUUUGCAAGGGACCAUGGAAAGAUUUGUGUCAGUGGGAUGGUUGUCUGUCAAUUUGUUUGCCUUUGUAUUUGAGGCAGCAAGUGAGUUCAUUGCUUUGCUUGCUUGCCUUGUGAUUUAUAGGGCCUAGAAAGGGGUUAUAUAGGUUUUUGCUUUGAUGUAAUGCCGAUCACAUCUCGAGAUGUUAUCAGAUUUUAUCUAAUCUAAAUAAAACUCUUGCUGGUUGAU